GACGAACCGUGCAAACGUUAUUCGGAAUCACUGGGCAUAAAGGGCGCGUAGGCGGCUUGACAAGUCAGGGGUGUAAUCCGGCAGCUUAACUGUCGCAGUGCCUUUGAUACUGUCGAGCUCGAGGGAGGUAGGGGUCUGUGGAACUUCCGGUGGAGCGGUGAAAUGCGUUGAUAUCGGAAGGAACGCCGGUGGCGAAAGCGACGGACUGGAUCUCUUCUGACGCUGAGGCGCGAAAGCCAGGGGAGCAAACGGG
rnacentral:rRNA from 1 species